UACCAGAUACCGUCCUGGGCACUGGAGAUACAGGGGUGAACCAGGAAGAGAAGGUCUUACUUUCUGGAGCUUACAUCCCAGGCAUGGAAGCAGAUGACAGACACAUCAGCAUCAUUUCGACAGCUUGCCAGUGGAUUAGUUGUUCAGCAAGGAAAUGUGAGAGGAGAGGCGAAGUCUCCAUUUCCUCAUCUGUGAAAUGGGUGUGUUUUUUGGACUUUCACGUCCUUUCAUUUUGAUGACUUGAGUCAACGGGAAGUUCCAGAGAAAAUAUAAAGGCUGCAGACCAACUCUUCUAAAUCCCAAAGUCCUAAGUCCUUUGUGACCUGGUCUUGCUUGUGUUUCCAUCCUCCUGUUUACCUACUGCUUACCUGGACUUGUACAUCUGGUGCCCAGUAAAUGCCCACUGAAGGAAGGAGAGCCCCCCUCCCUAGCUCAGCACUCCCUCCUGCGUACCCCACCUUGCUGUCCCCUAGGGGGCACUGCUCCCCCUUGAACACUUGGCCCGAGUCAGGAGGAGCAGCUCUGUUCAUUGUUCCCUUGAGCAGAGCUGAGACAGGCUGACAUUUCCACAAAGCGCAUCGCUGAAAAUGUGCGAGGGGCUGGGGAAAUAAACAAGGAAAACGCAGGAAUGCAUAAAAUGUUCGUGUUUUCUCAUGAUCCUCAGAAUUCCAACCACAGUGGCCGAGAGCUUUGCUAGGCGCAAGUCUAGCUGGCUUCUGCUGGAUCUCUGUCUGAGCCUCUCCCCUCCCCAUCUCUGUGUGGCCAGGGCCAGCUGUUUUCCGUACUGAAGGACACUUUGCUCCCUUCCCAGGACUGUAAUGGAAAGCCUCUCCCUUUAAUGAAUUUCAGUGCUUUUCCUGAGUCAAGCACCUCUCCCAUGUUCAAGACACUCUCACGUUGAUCUAAAGCAUCCGCACCAGGAGACCCUAGACUUACUCAUCCCUCAUAACUGCAACUCUGUACCCUUGGACCAGCAUCUCCGCCUUUCUUCUCCCUCCCCCAAAAAUUACUACUCUGCUUUCUGCUUCCACGUACUCAACUUUCUUAGA